rnacentral:rRNA from 1 species
UACGGAGGGGGCUAGCGUUGUUCGGAAUUACCGGGCGUAAAGCGCACGUAGGCGGAUCAGUCAGUUAGGGGUGAAAUCCCAGGGCUCAACCCUGGAACUGCCUUUAAUACUGCUGGUCUGGAGUCCGAGAGAGGUGAGUGGAAUUCCGAGUGUAGAGGUGAAAUUCGUAGAUAUUCGGAGGAACACCAGUGGCGAAGGCGGCUCACUGGCUCGGUACUGACGCUGAGGCGCGAAAGCUAGGGGAGCAAACGGG